rnacentral:ncRNA from 21 species
AAUUACAUUGUAUAACACACUCAUAUAAUGCCGAAAAUAAGGUUCGGAAGUUUCUACCGGAUGACCGUAAAUCAUCUGACUAUGGGUGAAAUUAUUAUAGGA